UAAUACAGAGGGUGCAAACGUUGUUCGGAAUUACUGGGCAUAAAGCGCGCGUAGGCGGCCAAGUAAGUGUGAAGUGAAAUCCCACGGCUCACCCGUGGAACUGCUUUGCAUACUGCCUGGCUAGAGGAAGGUAGGGGAGAGCAGAACUCUUGGAGGAGCGGUGAAAUGCGUAGAUAUCAAGGGGAAUACCAGUGGCGAAGGCGGCUCUCUGGUCCUUUACUGACGCUGAGGUGCGAAAGCUAGGGUAGCGAACGGGAUUAGAUACCCCGGUAGUCCUAGCCGUAAACGAUGGAUACUAGCUAGAGGCCCACCUAAGGGUCUCUGGUGAAGCAAAUGUGUUAAGUAUCCCGCCUGGGGAGUAUGGUCGCAAGGCUA
rnacentral:rRNA from 1 species